UACGUAGGUGGCAAGCGUUGUCCGGAAUUACUGGGCGUAAAGGGCGUGUAGGCGGGGCGGCAAGUCAGAUGUGAAAUCCCAUGGCUUAACUGUGGAGCUGCAUCUGAAACUGUCGUUCUUGAGUGUCGGAGAGGAAAGUGGAAUUCCCAGUGUAGCGGUGAAAUGCGUAGAGAUUGGGAGGAACACCAGUGGCGAAGGCGGCUUUCUGGACGAUAACUGACGCUGAGGCGCGAAAGCGUGGGGAGCAAACAGG
rnacentral:rRNA from 1 species